GGUUCGAGUCCUCCCAGACCCACCACUCUGGAUGUCUUGAUUGCGCAUACGAAUUUCAAAGUUUGAGCGCGGGCGUUGAGGCCUGUGUUCUGCUCUUUAACAACUUGUGAUGUAGCGAGCGUUUUAGAUGAUCAUCUAGACGUGUCGUGAGGCUAAGGCGGGGGAGUGAUCCCCUGAUUGUGAGUCGUUAUAUUCGCGCCGGGGCUUUGUACCCCCUGGCAACAGCACGGGAUCCGUCCGGUGCUGAAAAAGGACCUCGAGGCAACUUGAGGUUAUAUGGUCAAGCGAAUAAGCGCACACGGUGGAUGCCUUGGCGGUCAGAGGCGAUGAAGGACGUGGCAGCCUGCGAAAAGUGUGGGGGAGCUGGCAACAAGCAUUGAUCCCGCAAUGUCCGAAUGGGGAAACCCACUGCUUCGGCAGUAUCCUGCAGUGAAUACAUAGCUGCUGGAGGCAAACCCGGUGAACUGAAAUAUCUAAGUAACCGGAGGAAAAGAAAUCAACCGAGAUUCCCUGAGUAGUGACGAGCGAACGGGGAACAGCCCUUAAGCUGAUAUGGUUUUAGAAGAACAGUCUGGAAAGACUGGCCAUAGAAGGUGACAGCCCUGUAUUUAAAAGGGCCAUAUCAGUGAAGACGAGUAGGGCGGGGCACGAGAAACCCUGUCUGAACAUGGGGGGACCAUCC
rnacentral:sRNA from 1 species